UACGUAGGCAGCGAGCGUUGUUCGGAGUUACUGGGCGUAAAGGGUGUGUAGGCGGUUCUUUAAGUUUGGUGUGAAAUCUCCCGGCUCAACCGGGAGGGUGCGCCGAAUACUAAGGGACUAGAGUACGGGAGAGGAAAGUGGAAUUCCAGGUGUAGCGGUGAAAUGCGUAGAUAUCUGGAGGAACACCGGUGGCGAAGGCGGCAUCCUGGACCAACACUGACGCUGAGGAGCGAAAGCCAGGGGAGCAAACGGG
rnacentral:rRNA from 1 species